GGAAGAAGUUAGCUCUGUGGUAGAGCAUCUGUUUUGCAUGCAAAAGGUCCCAGGUUCAGUUCCCAGCAUCUCCA